UACGAACCGAGCGAACGUUGUUCGGAAUCACUGGGCUUAAAGGGCGCGUAGGCGGGUGCUCAAGUCCGUGGUGAAAUCCUCCGGCUCAACCGGAGAACUGCCUCGGAUACUGGGUGCCUCGAGGGUGGUAGGGGUAUGCGGAACUAUCGGUGGAGCGGUGAAAUGCGUUGAUAUCGAUAGGAACUCCGGUGGCGAAGGCGGGUCUCUGGACAGUUCCUGACACUGAGGCACGAAGGCCAGGGGAGCAAACGGG
rnacentral:rRNA from 1 species